AAACUGAAAGGCGAUUCCCCGGUCGGAACGCGGGGGGUUGUUUGGUAAGCCCACAGAACGGAGCCUAGCUCGUCGACCCAGAGGCCUUUGGCUUCGUUUAGUCGGGUCUUGAGUCCGUGGAGCAAGGUCCGGUUGGUCACCUCGACCUCGCCGUUGGACUGUGGGUGCCCGACUGAAGUCAGUCGGUGCUUGAUGUGGAACCUGACGC
rnacentral:lncRNA from 1 species